CCCAGCGGGAAACUAUCCGCGACCGUUCAAAACCAGAUUCCCCUUGGCGGCGAGCUCGGCGGCGAUGCGGCCGCCGGCGCCGAAGCCCCCUGCUGCCGCCUCCUCUUCCUCCUACAGCCAGCGCGAGCCCCGCCCGGAGAAUCCGCUUCUCCUCCUUCCUUCCUGCCGAGCCGCCAAGCUCUCCCUCGGCUGCCCCAUCCUCGACCGCCUCCUCUCCGGCGGCCUCCCGGCCGCCUCCGUCACCGAGAUAGCCGGAGAGUCCGCCUCAGGCAAGACCCAGCUGUGCCUCCAGCUCGCCCUCCUCGCCCCGCAGUCUCCGCUCUCCGCCUCCGCCCUCUUCCUCCACUCCGACCUCCCCUUCCCCCUUCACCGCCUCCGCCGCCUCGCCCCCAAAUCCCGCCCCGAUAUCCUCGACCACGUACUCGUCGCCGCCGCGCACUCCCCCACCGACCUCCUCUCCCUCCUCUCCCGCGCCAAGCACCUGCUCGCCCACCCCGGCCGCUCCCCGCACCGGCUCCCCAUCCGCCUCAUCCUCCUCGAUUCCAUCGCCUCCCUCUUCCGCGCCGACUUCGACGCCUCCCCCGCCGACCUCAAGCGCCGGUCCGCGCUCUUCUUCCAGAUAUCCGCGACGCUCAAGGAGCUGGCCUACAGGCACCAGUGCGUGGUGGUGGUGACCAACCAGGUGGUGGACGUGGUGGAGGGCGACGCGGGGAACACCGUGGCGUGGUCGUCGGGGCGCCGGGUGAGCCCCGCGCUCGGGAUUGCGUGGGCCAACUGCGUCAACACGCGACUGUUCCUGACGCGGGAAGUGGACGGCGCCAGCGGGAUCGCGAUGAGGCGAAUGAAGGUGGCGUUCGCGCCGCACCUGCCGGAGCGGGCGUGCGAGUUUGUGAUACGGAGGGACGGCGUGUUUGGCGUCGAGCAGGCGGAGAGAGGCAUGUUGCUGCAGCAAUGGUAGAGUUUAUCAGAUCCACGAUCAACAUAUGUUUUUGUUGGUGGUACAUGACAGACAUCCUGAAGUACAAUUGAGGUUUGUGUAAUGAUCCACAGCUUGUCCAUAUAAAUUAAAAUUUCCCUAUUACUGCUUUGAGAAAAAUUUAAUAACAAAUCCGAUUAAUGUUAAUGCACAGUUAACUAGUUAAGGGAGAACUGAAAAGUAAAAAAAAAUGAAUAGCUGAUCAUCACUGGUUGUACCUAACAUUUCAGUUCAACAUCUCAAAAAAAGGUUACAGUUCAAAUGUUCUGUACAUUUUACUUUAAUUUGUAUACAAUUGAUCUUUCUGACAUUAUUUUGUAACUGAAACAUGCUUUAACCAAAAAAAAAAAACCUCGACCUGUGAGGGGUAAGACAGUCCCCCGGGCAUUUUGGUAAGAGAAGACCUUCUCAUGAAACAUGCUUUAACACACUUGGAAGUAUAAUUCUGUCAUGGAAGGUAUCCUGUUUCGGAAAACAGGAGUAACUAAACUGUCAUAAACUCCACUGUUGGAGCUUCCAGCACAACGCUGAAAUGUAAAAAUGUUCAUGUUUCCUUCCUAAAUCAGAUCAGCGGAAAUAUCUGCAAUCAGUCCAUUGACUUGGACAGGUGAGAUGUCUCAUACAGUUCUGAAGGCAAUUCAGUGGAUUGCUACCUUCUGUUAUCUUAACUUCAUCACAGUAGAGCUCCACUGCUAUUGCGCACAGCAAAAUUUUUUAACCAAAUGUCCUUUGCUCAAGGCUGUCUAGGUAGGCAGUCUAAGGCUGGGGCCGUGGUGACUAGGAAGAUACCUGUUGGUAGUAAUGUUGGCAGUUAACUUUCUUAGUAUGUCCCUUUUUUACUUUUACUCAACAGCUGGUCCGUGGUGACUACUGACUAGUAAUAUUUGGUACUUCGGUUGAAUAAAAUGUGGCUCGGCAGUUCGCCACUUGAGGUUGGUGUAACAAAACCAAUAAAGUGACUCCUUUAGCUUAGCAUGCUGGGUUAAUCAGGCUGGAAAAGGUAAAUUUCAGUCUUGUGCUCAAGGUUCUUGGUUACUGUAAGUUUAUUGUAUUGUUGAAUAGCCAAGCAACCAGUUUGCAAAAUUCCCUUGUUCGAUCAAACUCUUCAGCACUAAGUGGAUGGAGCCAAGCAACUAAUUCACAGAAGUGGAUGGUCUACCGGCGACCAUCACUGUUGCAUGAUUUAAGUUAUGCAGCUUUCUACUUCAAACCUGCUUUAGUUGGUUGAUCAUAACAAGAUAACUAAUGGAUAGGACCAUGCAAUUUGUAAGCUUCCAUAGCUGUCUUAUAAGACAGCCAUGUUAAGCCUUCAAGGACUUGCAAUAAAUUUCAGGUUAGUGCAUUGUGUUUAACUUGGCCUGGUCUCCAUAUAUGGCAAGUAACGCAGAGCAAAUCAAGGAACAGUUCAGAGGUGCUGAGCACAGACAAAAGUGCCUACAAAGAGCACCAGCAAAUCAUCUCAUGCAUCUCUAGCCAUGAAUCUGCAACUAUGUUAAGCGCACCUGAGUCCAUGGAUAUGCAGAUGGAUAAGGAUGGACUCAAUUUAAACUUGACGCUCCAUCAGUCAUAUCCUCCAAGGCUUCCAACAAUAUUUUCUUGCAGCUGCUGUCCUCAGAAGUUCCAGAGUGCUCAGGCCUUAGGUGGCCACCAGAAUACACAUAAGCUCCAGCAUCACUUUGGGAAGAGGAAUCGAGAGGCCAAGUACUGCAAGGAUUAGGUGAUUCAACAUUAUCUAGCACAAUGAUCCACAGAGUUCUUCAACAGGAAGUAUGCUUGCAAUGGACAUUAACAAAUGGGAUAAUCGACUUGUCUUUGAAGUUACAACAUGCUAUCCCCUUUCUAAUUUGUAUGCCGUUUCCUUCCUAUCAUGGUCUGAAUCUUUGCAGGCUUCACAUCUACUCCCUCUGUUCCAAAAUGUAGGUCGUUUUAGUUUUUCUAGAUACAUAGUUUUUACUAUGCAUCUAUAUAUAGAGUUAUGUCUAGAUACAUAGCAAAAUCUAUGUACCUAGAAAAGUCAAAACGACUUACAUUAUGAAACGGAGGGAGUAUUUAACAAUGCCUGCAGUGGUUAUGAUCCAUGAUGCCUUGUGGUGGAUCCAACAUUUCCCACAAAUUGAAGUGGACAAGAUCACCAAGUUUGCAGCCUGCUUCUGGUGAUAGCAGGUUCAACGAAUACGAUCAAACAUUGUCCAUGCUUUGGAUACCCUUUGAACAAAAUUAUAGGUUGUCAUAGUUGCGAUGCGAUCUGCACCUAAAGCACAAACAAAUCAUGUCCUUUUAUCGUCAGCUAUCAGUUUAUGAAGCUAUUUGAAUACUCUUAUAAUGGAUUAUAGGGUCAAUGAAGGUUAUUCAUGUAUUCUUAGCUACACAAGUUAGCAGAUUUUCCCAUUUAUUGUAAAGCUGUUUAUAAAGUUCAUCUCUAUAAUUUCUGCA